GUGUGUGUGUGUGUGUGAUUGCAUGUCAUCGUGAUCAGCUUGUACUAGCACGAGAGAGAUAUAAUUAGGAUCACAGUGGAGUAGACACAAACUGACUCGACUGCAUGGGAAGUGACGAGGAAGAUGUCAUCUUCCCCUCCGUGCCCACAAAUUAAGCUGCCACUGACACAUUCCAGCAGUGGAACUAGAAAUUAAACCACAUGCGCGUGCAUGUGAUGCCAGCAGAACACUCUCUAGGAUACACCAUUGCCACUGCAGCUUGCUCUGAUAUUGCCCGCAGCUAGCUAGAUAGCAGGAGCGCAGGCAGGACUACUAUACUAGUUGGAUUCCAUUCUCCCCAGCACACAUAUUCCCUUCUCUCUUCUCCAUGCAACUCUUUGUUUCCUUCCUAAUACCUCUCCCAACCGUAACAUACAUACCCAAAGGCAUGCACUCUUGUAAUCGUUCUCUCUUUUGUACUCGCCCUAAUGA
rnacentral:lncRNA from 1 species